AGCAGAUAAGUGAUGGUGCCAGGAUUAGAAUCUAGGUCCUUCUGACUCCCAGGCCUGGGUUCUAUCCUCUAGGCCAGGCUGCCUCUGCUCCAGACAUCGAGAUGGAGGGAACAGAACUACAACCUGCCCCUCAGCAGAAGCUGCUCAACACUUCACCUUGGACUCGAGGACCUUCUCAAUCCCUCAAAAAUGGACCUUCACUCCUUUGAGACUACAGAUUGCCAGGGGAACUGAGAGGAGAGGUCAGGUGUCUAAAGAAUUGACUAGGUCAAGACCGACCAUCCACCGGCUGUUCCACUGGAUGCAAACUUCUUGGAGUAACCACGGCCACGGGGACCUUCACAGUGCAGCAUGGAUCUCCUUCGCCUCUGAUGUCUCCCUCGUCUCUGGAGUCUCCCACACCUCAAUAUACCUAAAAUAGAACUCUUUAUCUUUCCACCCAAACCCUAUAUAUAUCUGCUAUUUAUUUUUUAUUAAUUUAUUAUAAUAUCUGUCUCCCCCCUCUAGCAUUAAGCUCACUGUGGGAGAGCACUGUGUGUCAUGAUUGUUCAUUCAGUCAUUCAUUCGAUAGUAUUUUUUACAGAGCACUGUACCAAGCUCUUGGAAAGUACAAUUCAGCAAUAAAGACAGACAAUCCCUGCGCACACCGGGCUUCAAGCUUGUUAUGCUGUACUCUCCCUAGUGCUUUGUUCAGUGCUCUGCAUACAGUAAGCAUUCAGUAAAAAUGAUGGAUUGGCCCAGAUAGCAAUGGUGAGUAUUGAUUGCUGGGGCUCCUGGGGCCACAAGUGGAUCAUGGGACUAGGGGGCUUGGAUAAUUAUGGCCCCUGGGAGCCAAAGUAGGUUAUUUCACCCCUUGGAGGCCCAAGUGAUUUAUUAUGCACCCCGGGCAGGUUGGCAAUUGGUUCUUUGGGGUCCUCAGGGGCUGGAGUGAGUCACUGGGGCCCCCGAGGCACUCAGGUGUGUUAUUAUGCCACCUGUGGCAGGGGGAGUGACAUGGGUCUGGUUAUUGGGGCUCUUGGAGCCUCAAAUGGAGUAUUGAGGCCACUGGGCACCAAAGUGGGAUAUUGGGACCCCCAAGUGCCCAACUGAAUUAUUGGGGUCCCUGUAGGCCCGAGUGGGUUAUUUGGGACCCCAGGGCCCCAAAUGGCUUAUUGGGCACCCAAGUGAGUUACUGGGACUCCUGGGAGCCCAUGUGGCCAACUGGGACCCCUGCGGGCCAAAAUGGAUUAUUAGGACCCCCAGGAUGACAAGUGAUUAUUACGCCCCCACUCCCCCCGGGGGAAAAGAAGAUUGAUUCUCUGCCGGGGGAGGGGGCACCAGAGGGCGCUAGAGAGGCGCAGCUACCCAGACCAAUGCCUACAGCCACGAGGGGCUGAUAGAGAAGCACACACAGCUUCACAGAACAAGCCUACUGCAGUACCAUUCUAUCCUGCCACCAGGCGGCGAUAGAG
rnacentral:lncRNA from 1 species